GCGUCGGUGGCGCAACGGUUAGCUCACGCUUCCAGGAAGAGUGAGAGCGGGGUUGGAAUCCCGGCUGACGCA